GACGAACGCUGGCGGCGUGCUUAACACAUGCAAGUCGAACGGAAAGGCCCCUUUGGGGGUACUCGAGUGGCGAACGGGUGAGUAACACGUGAGUAACCUGCCCUUGACUUCGGGAUAACUUCAGGAAACUGGGGCUAAUACCGGAUAGGAAUCCUUGCUGCAUGGUGGGGGUUGGAAAGCUUCGGCGGUUUUGGAUGGACUCGCGGCUUAUCAGCUUGUUGGUGGGGUAGUGGCUUACCAAGGCCUUGACGGGUAGCCGGCCUGAGAGGGCGACCGGCCACAUUGGGACUGAGAUACGGCCCAGACUCCUACGGGAGGCAGCAGUGGGGAAUAUUGCACAAUGGGCGGAAGCCUGAUGCAGCAACGCCGCGUGCGGGAUGACGGCCUUCGGGUUGUAAACCGCUUUCAGCAGGGGCGAAGCUUGUGGUGACGGUACCUGCAGAAGAAGCACCGGCUAACUACGUG
rnacentral:rRNA from 1 species